UAAAGUCCCUAAGUGAGACAAAUGAGCCGAAAGGCACAUCGUUCCUUCAGGAAGGAGCAGCGAUUGAGCUGACUUGAACCCAGAAAUUAGUAAAAAUAAUCCAG